rnacentral:rRNA from 1 species
AUUGAACGCUGGCGGCAUGCCUUACACAUGCAAGUCGAACGGUAACGGGCCUUCGGGUGCCGACGAGUGGCGAACGGGUGAGUAAUGCAUCGGAACGUACCUUUCAGUGGGGGAGUAACGUAGCGAAAGUUACGCUAAUACCGCAUAUUCUGUGAGCAGGAAAGCAGGGGAUCGCAAGACCUUGCGCUGAUUGAGCGGCCGAUGUCAGAUUAGCUAGUUGGUGAGGUAAAGGCUCACCAAGGCGACGAUCUGUAGCGGGUCUGAGAGGAUGAUCCGCCACACUGGAACUGAGACACGGUCCAGACUCCUACGGGAGGCAGCAGUGGGGAAUUUUGGACAAUGGGGGCAACCCUGAUCCAGCCAUGCCGCGUGAGUGAAGAAGGCCUCGGUU